CAAUAGCGUAUAUUAAAGUUGUUGCGGUUAAAAGCUCGGAGUUGGAUUUCUGCCGAGGACGACCGGUCCGCCUCUGGGUGAGUAUCUGGCUUGGCCUGGGCAUCUUCUUGGAGAACGUAGCUGCACUUGACUGUGUGGUGCGGUAUCCAGGACUUUUACUUUGAGGAAAUUAGAGUGUUCAAAGCAGGCAACCGCUCUGAAUACAUUAGCAUGGAAUAACGCUAUAGGACUCUGGUCCUAUUGUGUUGGUCUUCGGGACCGGAGUAAUGAUUAAGAGGGACAGUUGGGGCGAUUCGUAUUUCAUUGUCAGAGGUGAAAUUCUUGGAUUUAUGAAAGACGAACUUCUGCGAAAGCAUUUGCCAAGGAUGUUUUCAUUAAUCAAGAACGAAAUGUUUGGGGGCGUCGAAGACGAUCAGAUACCA
rnacentral:rRNA from 1 species